AAAAGUCGUAACAAGGUUUCCGUAGGUGAACCUGCGGAAGGAUCAUUAACACUUUUUAUUAUUUUGUUUUUUUUCUAAAACAAAAUUUAAAACCCCACAAUUUUGGAUGAAUUUAAUUUAUUUAUUUUUUAUUUUAUUUUUUUUAUUAUAACCCUAUUAUUUGACUAACAUUUUUAUUUAAUUAUUAAAAAAUUAAAAAAACAACUCUUAACAACGGAUAUCUUGGCUCUC
rnacentral:misc_RNA from 1 species